rnacentral:rRNA from 1 species
GACGAACCGUCCGAACGUUAUUCGGUAUCACUGGGCUUAAAGCGUGCGUAGGCGGCCUGGUAGGUGAGAUGUGAAAGCCCACGGCUCAACCGUGGAAUUGCGUUUCAAACCACCAGGCUGGAGGAUGGCAGGGGUGAUGGGAACUGAUGGUGAGCGGUGAAAUGCGUUGAUAUCAUCAGGAACACCGGUGGCGAAGGCGCAUCACUGGGCCAUUUCUGACGCUGAGGCACGAAAGCUAGGGUAGCGAACGGGAUUAGAUA